AAAGUUUUAGUUUAAAUAAAAACUAUUCUUUGUCAGGGAAUUAAUAUAUAAUUAUAAACUUUU
rnacentral:tRNA from 1 species